rnacentral:rRNA from 1 species
UACGGAGGGAGCUAGCGUUGUUCGGAAUUACUGGGCGUAAAGCGCACGUAGGCGGCUUUGUAAGUUAGAGGUGAAAGCCCGGAGCUCAACUCCGGAAUUGCCUUUAAGACUGCAUCGCUCGAAUCAUGGAGAGGUGAGUGGAAUUCCGAGUGUAGAGGUGAAAUUCGUAGAUAUUCGGAAGAACACCAGUGGCGAAGGCGGCUCACUGGCCCGUUACCGACGCUCAGGCGCGACAGCGUGGGGAGCAAACAGG